rnacentral:rRNA from 1 species
AUGAUGGCGAGUCCGGCGUUCUUGCUGCUGCUCUUGCUGGCCGUGUCGAUCAGGGGAUCAGAGGCGGAGUGGUGCGUGUGCAGGUCGGACGCGAACGAGACGGCGCUGCAGGAGACGCUGGACUACGCGUGCGGGCAGGGCGCGGACUGCGCGCCGGUGGCCACGGGAGGGAGCUGCCACAGCCCCGACUCGGUGGUGGCGCACUGCUCCUACGCGGUCAACAGCUACUACCAGAGGAGCAGCCAGACCAAGGGCGCCACCUGCGACUUCGGCGGCACCGCCACCCUCUCCUCCGCCGACCCCAGCUCGGGAACCUGCAAGUACCCUGCAACCGCAAGUGCGGCUGGGACGAGCACCGGGAACGGCACAGGGACAGGCUCCGGCGCCGGCACCAACUCGUCUUCCCCGGGCUCGACGAACCCAGCUACGCCCGGCAUGGGAGGGAGCUUCACCACGCCGAUCGGCAGCGCGUCCGGCCCUACGGCGAGCAUCAUAGGCCCCGAGAGCAGCGGUGUCGCUGCCGCUGCGGCCGCUUUCGCUGGCGUCCGUGGCCUCGUCGGCGUCGCCGUGGCCUCCGUCCUCGCUUUCUAG